rnacentral:rRNA from 1 species
CACGUAGUUAGCCGGCGCUUCUUCUGCAGGUACACGUCAACUUCGUCCCUGCUGAAAGAGGUUUACAACCCGAAGGCCGUCAUCCCCCACGCGGCGUCGCUGCGUCAGGCUUCCGCCCAUUGCGCAAUAUUCCCCACUGCUGCCUCCCGUAGGAGCCUGGGCCGUGUCUCAGUCCCAGUGUGGCCGGUCGCCCUCUCAGGCCGGCUACCCGUCGUCGCCUUGGUAGGCCACUACCCCACCAACAAGCUGAUAGGCCGCGAGCCCAUCCCCAACCGAAAAAACUUUCCACCACCAGACCAUGCGGCCAGAGGUCGUAUCCGGUAUUAGACCCAGUUUCCCAGGCUUAUCCCAGAGUCAGGGGCAGGUUGCUCACGUGUUACUCACCCGUUCGCCGCUCGAGUACCCCCGAAGGGGCCUUUCCGCUCGACUUGCAUGUGUUAAGCACGCCGCCAUCGUUCGUCCUGAGCCAGGAUCAAACUCU